UGUUGCUGAUCUGGGUAGAGUAGCACCUGGUUUGGUGGUGCUUGUCUCAUAUCAGCCAGGGACAAGUAACUCCUUCUUUAUCCCAGCUUGGCUUUUGGUCUGUGCCCAUGCCUAGUUCGUGCCCAUGCCUGC